ensembl:ncRNA C01B7.9 ncRNA
UUUAUGAGGUUUCAUAAAACCAUCAAAAAGACCGUUCUCUCAUCAUCAUCAUUGGGAGUUUAGUUGUCGGGAAAUCAAAGGAGACCACCGUUAAACCUUCUCUCUCUCACCCACACUCGGCUAGUUUUGACCGAUAAGCAUCUCAAUCGGUUUGGGUCGGGGGCUAAUGUGAACGUUGUUUCUUCAGUUG